UACAGAGACUGCAAGCGUUAUUCGGAUUCACUGGGCGUAAAGGGUGCGCAGGCGGCCGUGUGUGUGAGGCGUGAAGGCCCGGAGCUCAACUCCGGAAUUGCACCUCAAACUACACGGCUAGAGCAUUGGAGAGGGUAGCGGAAUUCACGGUGUAGCAGUGAAAUGCGUAGAUAUCGUGAGGAACACCAGAGGCGAAGGCGGCUACCUGGACAAUUGCUGACGCUCAGGCACGAAAGCGUGGGGAGCAAAAGGG
rnacentral:rRNA from 1 species